GCCUGGGUGGCUCAGUCGGUGAAGCGCCUGACUUCGGCUCAGGUCAUGAUCUCAAGGUCCGUGAGUUCGAGCCCCGCAUCAGGCU
rnacentral:tRNA from 1 species